rnacentral:rRNA from 1 species
AUUGAACGCUGGCGGCAGGCCUAACACAUGCAAGUCGGGCGAGAGGCGGACGGGUGAGUAAUGUAUGGGGAACUGCCUGAUGGAGGGGGAUAACUACUGGAAACGGUAGCUAAUACCGCAUACCAUCAGAUGAACCCAGAUGGGAUUAGCUGGUUGGUAGGGUAACGGCUUACCUAGGCGACGAUCCCUAGCUGGUCUGCGAGGAUGAGCAGCCACACUGGAACUGAGACACGGCCCAGACUCAUACGCGAGGCAGCAGUGGGGAAUAUUGCACAAUGGGCGCAAGCCUGAUGCAGCCAUGCCGCGUGUAUGAAGAAGGCCUUCGGGUUGUAAAGUACUUUCAGUGGGGAGGCGUUACCGGCAGAAGAAGCACCGGCUAACUCCGUGCCAGCAGCCGCGGUAAUAC